AACAAGUCACAAUCUAACUGGUGAUGCUAGCAAUAACUCAGAUAAGGAGGUGCUGGCAGAGAAAUCUAAAGAAUCUUCUACUGCUAGUUGACAUGCUUGAAAAUCAGAUUUACUGGAUCAGAAGAUUUUGCCUCAAUGGAGUUGCCAAGCUAGGCCAAGGUUAGUGGCAUUUGUGUCCCAUUUUCCAGUUCUGAUUCCCAUGCCAUAAUCUUCGCAUUGUACAUCAGUAGGAUUUUAAAGAAUCAAAGUAGCCC
rnacentral:misc_RNA from 1 species